rnacentral:rRNA from 1 species
AGAGUUUGAUCCUGGCUCAGGACGAACGCUGGCGGCGUGCUUAACACAUGCAAGUCGAACGAUGAACCGGCUUCGGCCGGGGAUUAGUGGCGAACGGGUGAGUAACACGUGGGCAAUCUGCCCUGCACUCUGGGACAAGCCCUGGAAACGGGGUCUAAUACCGGAUACGACCGUUUGAGGCAUCUCAUGGCGGUGGAAAGCUCCGGCGGUGCAGGAUGAGCCCGCGGCCUAUCAGCUUGUUGGUGAGGUAACGGCUCACCAAGGCGACGACGGGUAGCCGGCCUGAGAGGGCGACCGGCCACACUGGGACUGAGACACGGCCCAGACUCCUACGGGAGGCAGCAGUGGGGAAUAUUGCACAAUGGGCGCAAGCCUGAUGCAGCGACGCCGCGUGAGGGAUGACGGCCUUCGGGUUGUAAACCUCUUUCAGCAGGGA